AUUGAACGCUGGCGGCAUGCCUUACACAUGCAAGUCGAACGGCAGCGGGGACUUCGGUCCGCCGGCGAGUGGCGAACGGGUGAGUAAUGUAUCGGAACGUACCUUUCAGUGGGGGAUAACGUAGCGAAAGUUACGCUAAUACCGCAUAUUCUCUGAGGAGGAAAGCAGGGGACCUUCGGGCCUUGUGCUGAUGGAGCGGCCGAUAUCAGAUUAGCUAGUUGGUGAGGUAAAGGCGCACCAAGGCGACGAUCUGUAGCGGGUCUGAGAGGAUGAUCCGCCACACUGGGACUGAGACACGGCCCAGACUCCUACGGGAGGCAGCAGUGGGGAAUUUUGGACAAGGGGCGCAAGCCUGAUCCAGCCAUGCCGCGUGUGUGAAGAAGGCCUUCGGGUUGUAAAGCUCUUUCGGACGGGAAGAAAUUGGUGGGGCUAAUAUCCCCAUCGGAUGACGGUACCGUAAUAAGAAGCACCGGCUAACUACGUGCCAGCAGCCGCAGUAAGAC
rnacentral:rRNA from 1 species